UUAAAGCGGAAGAAAUAUUACCG
rnacentral:rRNA from 1 species